CCAGUAUUCGUUGUGCUGCCCCA
rnacentral:miRNA from 13 species